AUGUCAGAUGAUCGUAUAUUUGAGUUUGUUAUAUUUGCCGAAUGUUAUCCAAAUGUCUCAAUUUCUUACCACAUUAUCUUAACUGUGCAUGUGACUGUAGCAUCAUUUGAAUGAAGUUUUUUUAAACUGAAGUUAUUGAAAAUUAUUUGA
rnacentral:rRNA from 1 species